UUGGCCCGCGGCCGUGCGCACUCUCCCGGGCGCGCCCUGUGGCUCCUCGCCAUCACUUUGCGUUCCGAGGACGGUAGGCGUUUUCCAUUUGCAGCGGGCCGAGGUUGGGCAACUUAGUGACGGACCUCCGGCAAGGAUUUUGCCUUGUUUACUAGCGGCGUAAGUGCUCGGCCUCCGGGCAGUCCUGGAGGGAUUUACUUGUUAGAGCGCGCAAAGAGCUGCUAAGGACAGAAGAAACUUCGGGAAGUUCGUAUCUCAGAAGAAAUGUGCGUUCUUCUUAGAAUCGAUGGAGAGUGAAGGAGGGGGUGGAAACGUCAGGUUACAAUGGUUUGGUGUAAGAACAGGAGUCCCAGGAAGUUGCUUGCUUUCGGGAAUUCAUCUCGAAGCUCUUCUUUGGUCUGGAGAAUUCAGAGAGAGUCUGUCCUACCCACAGUCGUCACUAUCUGGAAGAAGCGUUGAUCUGAAUUUCAUCAGAGUCCGCGUACUGAAAGCCCUAAGACCAGAAGCUGCUAAGCAGAAGUGAGCCCUCUGCCAGAAUCCUCCUAGAAUGCGAAACAGAGCCGUGGACAGCCAGACUGGGAUAAGAAAUCCACCUAAAUUAAACAAGUGAGAAGAAAAGGUCCAAAACCUUUAAGAGAUUAUUUCCUUUGAGGCAGUUUCUUUGUUCAUUGUGUAGCAUUUAGAAGCUUGUGAUUCAGUUAUCGACUGCAGUAGAAUUAACUUUCCCACAUAUUAAAAA